UACGUAGGGUGCGAGCGUUGUCCGGAAUUAUUGGGCGUAAAGAGCUCGUAGGCGGUCUGUCGCGUCGAUCGUGAAAACUUGGGGCUUAACCCUGAGCUUGCGGUCGAUACGGGCAUGACUGGAGUUCGGCAGGGGAGACUGGAAUUCCUGGUGUAGCGGUGAAAUGCGCAGAUAUCAGGAGGAACACCCGUGGCUAAGGCGGCUCUCUAGUACGGUACUGACGCUGAGACGCGAAAGCGUGGGGAGCGAACAGG
rnacentral:rRNA from 1 species